rfam:Streptomyces violaceusniger Tu 4113, complete genome.
CUUCAGCGAGCCCAGCCACAGCGGCUUGUUCUCCGGCCGCUCCUUGCCGUAGGUGGCCAUCAGGGCCUGCGCCUC